rnacentral:lncRNA from 1 species
CAUGCCUCCCCGCGGUAGAGCACCGGAGAAACCUUAACGUAAUAGUCUACAUUUGAAUAUCACAUGGGUUUUGCCCCCAGAAGCUCCCCACCAAAUACAGUAACUGCUCAUGUGUUAUGACCUCAGUGUAAUUUCCUUUCAAAAUGGCUAGUGGACAGCACCCCCUGCCAAGGACUGUGCUGUCUGUGAGCUGCUAUCCUACCCUUCUUUGAUGGCCUGGCUGUGAGACGGAGCCUGUGUCUGGUGCACUGCCGCUGCUCAAGAUCAAAGCUUUCCAAUAUUGCUUAUGGUAUUUUCCACUACAAGAAAAAAAGGUCCAGUAGAAAUUAUCCAAGAGGAAAAGUAUCGAUUACCCUAAAGCAUGCUUUCUGUGUGAUGCUUUCUGGCUUCCCACGACUCUGUGAGACGGCACCUUCAUCUUAUCAUCGCUGUUGCUAUAU